rnacentral:sRNA from 1 species
UUUUUUUUGGUUUUUUUU